AAUUUAAGCGUUAUGCCAGGUGUUCGAGUUUGCUCGAAUGAAAAGGGAAAGCGGUGAGAAUCCGCUGCAGCCCCCGCUACUGUUAGUGUGAUGCGUUGCUUGUAUAGCCACUGGUAUAAACCGGGAAGGCCAGCAGUUGCAAAUGAACACGAGCCAGGAGACCUGCCUGGGAUAGAAAACCAUU
rnacentral:ncRNA from 2 species